CCUACGGGUGGCAGCAGUGAGGAAUAUUGGUCAAUGGGCGCGAGCCUGAACCAGCCAAGUAGCGUGAAGGAUGACUGCCCUACGGGUUGUAAACUUCUUUUAUAAAGGAAUAAAGUGAGGCACGUGUGCCUUUUUGUAUGUACUUUAUGAAUAAGGAUCGGCUAACUCCGUGCCAGCAGCCGCGGUAAUACGGAGGAUCCGAGCGUUAUCCGGAAUUAUUGGGUUUAAAGGGAGCGUAGAUGGGUUGUUAAGUCAGUUGUGAAAGUUUGCGGCUCAACCGUAAAAUUGCAAUUGAGACUGAGAAUCUAGAGUACAGGUGAGGAAAGCGGAAUUCGUGGUGUAGCGGUGAAAUUCUUAGAGAUCGGGAAGAACACCGAUUGCGAAGGCAGCUUACUGGCCAUCUACUGACGUUGAGGCUCGAAAGUAUGGGUAUCAAACAGGAUUAGAUACCUCUGUAGUC
rnacentral:rRNA from 1 species